UUCUGCCCAUUUUUCAAUUGGGUUGUUUUACAAUGUUGUGUUGUGUAAGCUCUUUGUGUAUUUUGGACAUUUUCCCAUUGCUAGAUUUAUCACUUGCAAAUAUCAUCUCCCAGUCAGUAGGCAGACUUCAUUUUGUUGAUUAUUUCCUUUACUAUGCAAAAGCUUUUCGGUUUGAUAUAGUCCCAUUUGUUUAUUUUUGCUUUUGUUUCCCACACCUGAGGACGCAGAUCCAAAAAAAAUUUAAUAAGACUAAUGUGAAAAAGGUACUGCCUCUGUUUUCUUCUAGAAGUUUUAUGGAUUCUUUUUAAGAUAUUUUACUAUAGUUGAUUUACAAUGUUCUGUCAAUUUCUGCUGCACAGCAAAGUGACCCAGCCAUAUAUAUACAUAUAUAUACACAUAUAUACAUAUAUAUACACACAUAUAUACAUAUAUAUGCAUACACACACACAAAUAUAUACACACACACAUUCUUUUUCUCACAUUAUCCUCCGUCGUGUUCCAUCACAAGUGACUAGAUAUAGUUCACUGCGCUAUACAGUAGUUUUUUAAAGAUAUUUAUUAUAGUUGAUUUACAAUGUUUUGUCGAUUUCUGCUGCACAGUUUUAUAGUUUCAAUUUUUAAAUUUAUGUCCUCAAUUUUGAAUUUAUUUUUGUUCAUGGUGUCACACAUAUGUAUUUUAAUGACCUCUCCAAGUCCAAUUCAAUGUCAUAGGUUUUUCCUUCUUCCAUGUUUGUAUCUUUUUUUUUCUACCACAGUGAGAAACUGGCUCCUAACAACAUCAAUAUCUGCACUCAUUUGCUCAUAUUUCUAUAAUAUCUCUAAAAUAGAUUCUGAGUUUCUUCACCCAUUUGUAGACAUUCUCUUGCUGUGCUAUAAGUCAAACUUCAUAACUAGCAUAAUAAUUUUUUAUGGACACUAGCAAAUGGUUUGACCAAUUAGUAUGCUUUUAGAUACCAGAAAGAAAAUCCUGAUUCAAGCUGUCUUUAAGUUAUAAAAUUGGUCCUUCCUUCCUCCUUUCCUUCCUUCUUUGUUUGUCUUUUUAGGGCUACAACUGCGGCAUAUGGAAGUUUCUAGGCUAGGGGUUAAAUCGGAGCUGCAGCUGCUGGCCUACCCCAUAGCCACAGAAAUGCAGGAUCUGAGCCAUGUCUUCGACCUACAUCACAGCUCACGGCAAUGCCAGAUCCUUUUUUUUUUUUUU
rnacentral:lncRNA from 1 species